rnacentral:rRNA from 1 species
CUACGUGCCAGCAGCCGCGGUAAUACGUAGGGCGCAAGCGUUGUCCGGAAUUAUUGGGCGUAAAGAGCUCGUAGGCGGCUGGUCGCGUCUGUCGUGAAAACUUCCGGCUCAACCGGGGGCUUGCGGUGGGUACGGGCCGGCUAGAGUGCGGUAGGGGUAACUGGAACUCCUGGUGUAGCGGUGGAAUGCGCAGAUAUCAGGAAGAACACCGAUGGCGAAGGCAGGUUACUGGGCCGUUACUGACGCUGAGGAGCGAAAGCGUGGGGAGCGAACAGGAUUAGAUACCCUGGUAGUCCAUGCCGUAAACGUUGGGCACUAGGUGUGGGGGACAUUCCACGUUUUCCGCGCCGUAGCUAACGCAUUAAGUGCCCCGCCUGGGGAGUACGGCCGCAAGGCUAAAACUCAAAGGAAUUGACGGGGGCCCGCACAAGCGGCGGAGCAUGCGGAUUAAUUCGAUGCAACGCGAAGAACCUUACCAAGGCUUGACAUGUUAACCGUGGCUCUAGAGAUAGG